ACUGAUCUCCUCUGUGUCUCCUACCCAGCCUUCAUCCUUCCCCUGGUUCUAGUUGCAGAGCCAUGGGAUCCAUCAAGGAGGAGCUGCAGCUGACACCCGAGGAGGACGAGGAGGCCUGCAAGUACGCCGUCGAGCUGGCCGGCGGCCCCAUCCUGCCGAUGACCGUCGCGGCCGCCGUCCAGCUCGGCCUCUUCGAGAUCCUCAUCAAGGCCGGGCCGACCCCGAAGCUGAGCGCCGCCGACAUCGCCGCCCAGAUGCCCAACCAGAACCCCCAGGCGGCCGUCAUGGUGGACCGGAUCCUCCGCCUGCUCGCCGCCUACAACGUCGUGAGAUGCACCGUCGAGACCGGUGCCGACGGCAGGCCGUUGGGGAAGUACGGACCGGCGCCGGUGUGCAAGUACCUGGCCAAGAACGAGGACGGAGUGUCCAUGGCCGCUCUGGCCCUGAUGAACCAGGACAAGGUCCUCAUGGAGAGCUGGUACCACUUGAAGGACGCGGUGUUGGACGGCGGCAUCCCCUUCAACAAGGCGUACGGGAUGACGGCGUUCGAGUACUACGGCACGGACGCCCGGUUCAACAAGGUGUUCAACGAGGGCAUGAGGAACCACUCCACCAUCAUGACCAAGAAGCUGCUCGACAUCUACCGCGGCUUCGAGGGCGUCAAGGUGCUCGUGGACGUCGGCGGCGGCGUCGGCGGCACCAUCUCCAUCAUCGCCGGCAAGCACCCUCACAUCAAGGCCAUCAACUUCGACCUCCCCCAUGUCAUCUCCGACGCGCCACCCAUCGCAGGUCCAUCUCGACCGCCGCAACCUGAUCUCAUCUCAAGCGCUCAUGGGGUUGUUUGCUUGCCGCAGGAGUCGAGCAUAGAGGCGGCGACAUGUUCGAUAGCGUCCCGAGCGGAGACACCAUCCUGAUGAAGGUGAUAAGACCACCAUUAAACCCUCCAAAUCAAACACGCGGACUGACUUCAGGUUUUGUGGAUGCAUGCAGUGGAUCCUCCACGACUGGAGCGACGAGCUGUGCGUGAAGAUACUGAGGAACUGUUGGAAGGCAUUGCCGGAGAAAGGAAGGGUUAUACUGGUGGAGUGCGUCCUCCCGGUGGUUCCGGAGCCGAUGGGGCGAGGCCGGGAAGUCUUCUAUUUGGACGUCGUGAUGAUGGUUCACAACCCGGGAGGGAAGGAGAGGACAGAGAGAGAGUACGAGGGCUUGGCAAGAGAAGCAGGCUUCUCAGGAUUCAAAGCCACUUACAUCUUCGCUAAUACAUGGAUCAUUGAGAUCACAAAAUAGAGUGGGGAUAUGUUAUGCACUUAGGUUCUACCUAGCAUUAUCCUUAAAGAGAACAUUGGCCUAUGAUUUCUCUUCUAUCAUGAUGUUACUUUCUCCAAAUAAUAAGAUGGAAGUAUUAGUGAUUUCACCCACACAAAGGGGAGAGUCGAAAGUGAUUUGUUGAUCCAACGAAAACAUUUGUUAAUUUGUUGAUAUAUGCAUCUUUACAAACUAAACCACACUGUAAUUGCAAGAAGAAAUUGUAUGAGAAUAUGAUGACAAUGUUCAAAUGAUGAUCAAUAACAGUGACAAGUAGUAAUGCUAUUCAACAUCAAUUGUCAACGUGGGGGUGGUUCCACCUAAUCUUUUGGCAGCUUAUGUAAGUUUAGUCCAUGGCGUUUCCAUGUCCUAAUAUUUAUAAAUAUAUCCUAAACAUUGAUUUGAUUGUGAUGUAUUAGACUCUAUUAAAGAUUGAUGGUUUGAAAUAUCAUCCAAUAUAUUUUAAUAUUUUAAAUAUUGAUUCGAUAGUGAUGUACUUUAAAUAUAUUUUAAAUAUUUUAACAUAUUAAGAAUUGUCAUGAUAAUGGUAUAUCCGACUCGAUUAAGGAUUUGAAACCUCAUUCAAUAUAUUUUUAUAUCUUAAAUAUUAAUUUAAUAGUGAUAUAUGAAGCUUGAAGGUUGAAGGUUCAAAAUUUCAUCCGAUAUAUUUUUACACCUUAAAUAUUAGUUUAAUAAUAAUAUAUCAAAUCCUCUUAUCAAAGUCAGGAUUUAAAACCUCAAUUGAUAUACUUUACACUUUAAACAUUACUUUAGAGGUGGUAGGUAUCCUAUACUCUCCUAUCAAAAGUUGAGGAGGGUUCCAAACAUUAACAAAUACUUUUAACACCUUAAAUGUUGAUGAUGUAUCAAAAAAUUUAAAAUCUUAUUUGACAUAUUUUUGAAGGUGUCAAUAAUUUUAACUAUUAAAAACUUUGAUAAUUAAUCGUAAGAUCUUAAACUCAAAUCUCAUCAUCUAUUCUUUACAACAAAAAAAAUUAUAAGUGAACAAACUUGGUUUUACUUUCUAAAUAAUUUUGACUUGAUGUGAACAAGCUGAUCAUUCCAGUGGAAAAAUCCACGCUGACAAUGACAAGAAGGUUGGAAGUCUUGAUUGGCCUACCAAUUUCUAAUUUUCUAAACGAGUAACUUUCAACACUUCGUUCCAGGUGGAAAAAUCCAUGCUUGUCAACGACAAGAAGGUUGAACAAGUCUUGCUUGGCCCACAAAUUUCUAAUUUUCUACACCGGCAACUUUCAAGUCACUUGUGAGAGUAUGUAAGACCACUUAUUUGUCUUAGUAAGAUCACGAGAGUGUUGGAAAGAUAGAAGAAAAGAAUAAUUAUUGAAGAAGCUUCAUUAAAGAAGCUUUAGCUUGAAUAUAUUAACAUGUCCCUCUCUUAUUUAUACAGAUUAGGAGGAAGAAUUUUCCUCAAUAGAAUAGAAAAUUUUCCUCGUGGAGAUAUUUCCUCGUAUAGUUGGAAAAAUCUUAUUUGCUAUUAGAGAAACUGUCAUGAAAUGAUAAUAUAACUCUUAUUUUCUCAAGAGUUUACGAUAGACAUAUAAAAUAGUAAGAUUUCAUUCUCACUAUAUAGGAAAAAAUAUAUAUUUUUUUAUUUUCUCUAUGAAUUUGAAACAAAAUUUUAUUUUCUUGGAAGUCAGUUGAAUGUCCCAUGACUCAUUUGGGGAAUCUAAAAUGAUGGAAUUUUUUCACAUUAUACAAAGUAUAACAUAAUCCUUAAUCUUCUCAAAAUUUGGAGUGAUACCAUAAUCCAAAAUUUUUUAGGGGCAAAUAUGCAACUUCUAAACCUCCAAAGGAGACAAUAUGUAAAGUCCUCUUCUUCCCUUUCUACAAGUUUCUCUUUUGUUCUUAGAUUAAUUUUCCCAUAAACAUUUGUCCCUCCUUUGACAAAGGUUUUACCAAAACUAUUCCAUCAUCAAGCAUGCUCACCUCAGAUGAUGCAUGUGAAACUGGUUAGACUUCCACAAUCCAGAUGCCAUGUUUGUGCAUGACCAUGGUGAAGACAAUAAUGCAGAUAGAUAAGGAACUUAAGGUUCAAAGGAAGCAGAUAUUAUUAUGAUUAAGAACAAAAAAAGUUGAAGAACUGGCUGGUAGACAUUUCGAGAAUUAACUGUGGGUGUCUGUCUCUAAACUUAAUGAUACCCUGAUCUGCCACAUAUGUCAUAUAUUUCAUCCAUAUAUUUCAUACUUCAAGGCACAGGUCUCUUGUUCAAAUGCAAACUCUUCUGCAAAGAUGGCUACACCUUAUGGUGAGUACAUAGACGAUAACUUCUCUAUCCAACCUAGCCAUGUGGAUAGAGGACUUCAGCGCCUGCUACAAGCUACCUUAAACAAUCCAAUGUUAAGUCAACUCAUUUAAAACAAGGACUAUAGAAAGUUGAGAUCAUGGUAGAUACUUGAAUGAACAGUUCAACAAUCAGCCCUCUCUCUUUUUUUAACUUAACACCAUUAAUGAACUUUCUAACCACAACAUAGUUUAAUCAGUCCUACAAGCUGAAAACUCACCAGUCCUGCAGCUCUUUCUCACAUGCCACGUCGAGAUAUAGCUUACCCAUGACUUGAGGUGGCUUUCUAGGGAAGGAACUCCCCAGAAUUUUUUUCUAGGGCUCUAGGUAAUUGUUGUUAUUGUUUUAAUAUUGUUGAUUGUGGAUCGACAUAAUUUGAUUCCAUCUUGAAAGCAUAAAAUUAUUUGGAUAGCUUGUGUGGCGAUUGAGCACGGUGGUCGGAGUCAAAGAACGUUUGAUCAAAGCGAUCUCUAGGUGAGUGUUGAGCAUCCAAGGCAAUUCUUGAGUCGGUUCUUCGAGUUUUGGGGUUGAGCCGAGGUGAGCCUUGGUCUCCUUAAGGAUCCUGCACAAGCAGUCAAUGUAAAGAGAUUUCUAAAUUCGACUAUUUCGAUGAUAAAGUUGGGAUAAGCUUUUAUACCAGGAAAACUGAUGAAGGGGGAACAAUGGUUGAUGGAGACUAGCCCAUACAUCAUCUUGUGGCUCAUUUAUGUGGACAGCUAACCCGUACAGUUCCCUAAGGUGCGUUGUCAGCAAAGGAUGACUACAAGGGCACUACUUGUUAGUGUUAAGUCUCGGAUUUUGAUGAUGAAAUCAAUUGAUAAAUUAAUAAUCUAAUUCAUGUGUUGAGAUAAGUGUUAUAGGAUUAACUACAACAAUGAAUAAGGCAUAAAACAGAUGUUCGGCUAGAGUCAAAGAUCAGACGAUAUGUCGAAGAUUCGGACGAUGUGCCGGAAGCUCGCCGGGAGUUCAUCGGGAGCUUGCUGAGAGUUCGUCAGGAGUUCGCCAAGAAUUCAUUGGGAGUUCGUCAAGAAUUCGUCGGGAGAUCGCUAAGAGUUCACUGAGAAUUUGUCGAGAGUUCGCUGAGAGUUCAUCGGGAACUCAUUGAGAGUUCGUCGGGAGUUCGCCAAGAAUUCAUCGGGAGUUUGUGUUGAAUAUUAGAUUUUGAUGAUGAAACCAAUUGAUAGAGUUUAUGAUCUAAUCUACGUUUUUGAGUAACGUAAGACUAGCUUCGAUCAUAAAGAGAUAGUUAAGACAUGAAGAAUCAAUAUUGGGUCGGAGUGAAACAUAUCAGAAGAUUGGAGAUAUGUACACCCAUUUUAUGGAUGUUGUCAAUGGUUUAAAAGCAAUUAGUAAAAUUUUUUUGAAUUUUGAACUUAUUAAUAAAAUACUAAGAUCCCUUCCAAAAGGAUCCCAAAGUAACGACAAUACAAUAGGCAAAAGACUUAAACAAGUUUCCACAUGAAGAACUUAUUGGUUCAUUAAUGAUAUAUGAAAAGACAUACAAGACACAUGAUAAACUUGAGAACAAUCUUUCAACAAACAGGAAGGAUUUGACACUUAGAACAAAAGAAGACCACUUGAGCGAAAGCUCAAGUGAUGAUGACAUAGAACUCCUCAUAAGUAAAUUUAUAAAAUUUAUAAAACAUGAGACUAAGAAUAAAAAUGAACUUAAAAAGAAGAAGUUGUCAAAGAAGAAGAAAGUAUUUAAGGCGGCUUGGGACGAAUCGAGCUCAUCCAAAGACGAGAAGCAAACCAACAAAGACAAGAUGGCAAACUACGCCUUAAUGGCUUUCGAUGAUGAGGUAACUAAAACCCCCUUAGUUUACUCUAAAAUUACUUGAUGCAUUUCAUAAGUUAUUUUUAAAUUAGUAUAUAAAAUAUAAAAAAUAAAUAAAAGGGGAUCAUGCUUUUAUUUCUAGUGUCUUUAAAAAUUAAAAAAUAAAUCAUGACAAUUGCAUCUCUUUAUGAUAAAUAAAUAAAAUAUUAGAUUUAAAUCUAAUACUUGUAUACCUAAUAAGAUUAAUCCUAUGUAUAUUUUUAAGAAGUAAUAAUGUGUAUCUUGAUGAUUUUCAUAUUACUUUUUGAUUUUGAUUGAAGAAGCUUUAUGUUCAAUGAAACCAUACUUGAUAAUUUAAUGAUGCAUGAUGAUUUAAAAUAAUAAUAAUUGUUUUUAUAUUAUACUAUUGAUCUUUGUUGUGAUGAACUUCGGUUUUAAACAUGAUGCAUAAUUUUGACAUAAAAAUAAAAAACAAAAAUUUGGGCAUGCUCGUAUGAAAUCAAUCACAUGAAUUGAAACAACUAAAAAGGGAAUGCAUUAUUGAAAAUUUUUAUAUCACUAUCUUAUCGAUUUUUCGAAAAGAGAUUAAUGAAUCUAUUUAUAUUAUUUUUAUGAAUAUCUUGAAAGUGAUUUUGAUGAUUUGACGAUUUGAAUUUGAAUGAGUUAUUAAUCUAAAUCAUGAUCUUGAUUUCUCGGAAUUCAUAACUUAAGAUUUUCUUUGAAGAUCAUUGACUAUUUAAUCUUUUAAGAUUUUUUUUUGUUAUUUACUAAAAAGGGGAUUUGUCAAAAUGAAUCAUUCAUGAUCUUUCUUAAUCUUUCAUCUUUCGUAUCAUAAUUUUCAUAUAACUCCUUUGUAUUUAUGUUAUGAUUAGAACAUUGAUGUAAAAGAAAGUAAAAAGUGCUAGUUUGAAUGAUAAACUUAUGCAUGUUAAAUUCUUGAUUUCUAGAUGUUUGGUACGUGAGAUUUCUUUUGUGUGAACUAAGAUAUCAUAUUUGUUCUCACAUAAUUCUCUCUUUUUACUAAUGAGGAGACUUAUCUAAAUAAAUCUUAAUUCUUUCACUUGAUACUUAUGAAUUAAAAUUUAUGUUAUGUGAAUCAAGAUUUUUCAUUAAUUGUUCUCAUACUAUUCUUUUUGGUAUUUAGAAAGAUUUAUCCAAAUAAACCAAUAAUAUAUAUCUAGAUUUUUUAAUGUUUACGACUCGAAUUUUAUUAUGUACAAUUCUCAUGUAUUUAUAAUUUGUAUAUCUCAUGAUAUAAUUGAAUCAUUGAUGUAAAAAGAGAUAAAUUGUACUAUUGUAUUCUUUCCUUCUAUUUGCCAAUGACAAAGAGGAAGAAAGGAUUGUUAGUGUGCACAUCUCACAAGAGAACCAAAAUUUUCUAGCUUGCACAAUUCAAGAAAAAGCAAAUCACGCUAGCUUGCACAUCGCAAAGGAAAGCAAACUUGCUAGCUUGUAUGUUCUAUAAUAAUAUAAAAUUUUCUAACUUACAUAUUCUAAAACGAUGCAUUGCUAUCUUGGCACCACCUAGAGUGGGCGGUGGAACCGCCUGAGGCUCAGCCUUCAAGGAGGUUUAGGCGGUACUAGGCGAUGGUACCGUCGGCCAUAAAGGUUGUCAAUCAGUGGUACCGCCCUAUUAGGCGGUGGUACCGCCAGAGCCCAAUCUCCGAGACUGUCAAGUGGUGGUACCGCCCAAUGUCAAAGUGUUAGGCGGUAGUAAUGCCUAGUACUGGCAAUGGUACCACCAGUACCCCGGAAUUUAGAGAUGAGACACUUUUUGGCUCCAAGUUUGAAUCCAUUUGGAGCCUAUAAAAGCCUCAUUAAUCCCUACUUAGAAAUACAUCCACUAAGAGCAAAAAAGAAGGAAAACACUAUUGUAAUAUUGUGAGAACUCCUCUUAAGCCCUUUUAAGUAUUUGGUGAAGUUUAAGAGAGGGGUGAGUGGUUGUAAAGGUUAUCUCCUAAACCUAUAAAAAAGAGAAAAUGGGUGUAAAAAUGUAGUUGAUCUUCACUAAUUAAAAGAAGAUUGGUAGUGGAAGCCAAUAACCUUAAGUGAAGAGGAAUUAGAAGUGGAUGUAUGUCACAACGACCAAACCACUAUAAAAAUCUGAUUUGCAUUUAUUUUAAGCUUUUCAUUUUAAUUGCAAACUGAAUUCUUAUUUUCACUACUCUUAUGAAUAUUUUCAAGUCAAGUAUCUUUCCGAUACAUUUUCAUCGUAUAAAGCUUUUUAAAUCGACUCAAUUUUUAUGUGCGCACUAAUUCAAACCUCCCCCCCCUCUUAGUGCUGAUUCGAUCUUAACAGUUCGUCAAAAGCUUGCUGAGAGUUCACAGAAGUUCGUUGAGACUUCGCUGGAAGAACAAUUGACAUAUCGGAUAAAGAUUGCUUAGCUAAUGUCUUAAUUAUCAUAGUUAGAACUUAGAUUGAGUUAAGAUUGGGAGAUAAUCCCACUAACUUAGUUAGGGGACAAUUGGGCCCAAUUUGGUUUAGGCCAGACUGAUGGCCCAAAUAGUGACCUGAAGCCACGUUAGGCGGUGGCACUAUCGGAGCUAGCGAUGGAACUGCUUGAGGCUCAACGUCAUUAGUGGUUUGGGCGGUGGUAUCGUCAACAGUUAAUGCUGCCAAGCGGUGGUACCGCUAGAACCCAAUCUUCGAGGCUUUAUUAGGUGGUAGUACCAUCAGAAUGGGUAGUGGUACCGCCCAGCGUUAGAGUGUCAUACGAUGGUACCGCUUGGUAUUGACGGUACCACUGCUAGUACCCUGGAAACCCGAGAUAAGAUAAUUUUUUGCUCCAAUUUUAAAGUCAUUAGAGCCUAUAAAUACCCCACUCUUUUCUGCAUAAGGAAGCAAAAAAGUGUGAACAAAAUCUUAAAGUGUUGUAAAAGUGCUAAGUGUCCUCCUCCUCCCUUUCUAUGUCUUGUGAUCAUUCAAGUGAGGUAUGAGGUUUGUAAGGAUUGCCUCCUAAACCCAAAAAAGGAGAAAGUAUUGUAAGAAGGUGGUUGGUCUUUGCCUAUUAAAGAAAGACCAUUAGUGGAUGCUGAUGACCUUGACGAAGGAAGAAUCAGAAGUGGACGUAGGUCACAACAACUGAACAACUAUAAAUCUGGUGUGUUCUUUGCUUGCUGCUUACUUUCAUUACUUAGCUGCACUCUGCAUUAUUCAUUUACUUUAAGUCGACAUCUUCUCGAUACGAUUUCUUUAUUAUGGCUUUAUCAACUCGGAAAGAUUUGGAAUUGCAAUCAUAAUUUUUAUUACUAUACUAAUUCACCCCCCCCCCCCUCUUAAUGUCGUAUUAAUCCUAACAAUUGGUAUCAGAAUAAGGUUACUUUCAAUUUGAUUUAAAGCCCAAGAGAGAUGACUUUUGCUAGCAAUCAUGAGGGUCAUUCUAUCACACGUCCUCUCCCAUGUUCAAUGUAACAGAUUACACAUAUUGGAAAACUAGAAUGAGGAUUUUCUUGAUUUAUAUAGAUUUCGAGUUAUGGAAUAUCAUUGAAAAUAGAUUUCAAAAGUCUUCUCUUCCAAUGAACGAUUGGAAUGAUUUGGAGAAGAAGACUUUCUCUUUGAACGCUAAAGCUAUGAAUGAUUUAUUUUAUGUUUUGGAUAAAAAUGAAUUCAAUCGAGUUUCUAUUUAUGAAAUGACUUAUGACAUUUGACAUACACGUGAAAUCACACAUGAAGGCAUGAGUAGGGUUGAGUCAAAAAUCAAUCUUUUGGUUCAUAGUUAUGAAUUGUUUCCAAUGAAAUUAAGCGAGACCAUUGAAGACAUAUAUACCCAAUUUACGGAUGUUAUCAAUGGUCUAAAAGUACUUGACAAAAGUUUUUCUAAUUUUGAACUUGUUAAUAAGAUAUUAAGAUCCCUUCCAAAGAGUUGGGAUCAUAAAGUAAUCGCAAUUCAAGAAGCCAAUGACUUGAACAACUUUUCACUCGAAAAACUUAUCGGGUCAUUGAUGACUUAUGAAAUGAUAUGUAAUAUACAUGAAGAACUUGAGAACAACUUUCCAAAGAAUAGGAAGGAUUUGACACUCAGAACUCAAAAAGAACUUGAGAACAACCUUCCAAAGAGUUUGGAUCAUAAAGUAACUGCAAUUCAAGAAGCCAAUGACUUGAACAACUUUUCACUCGAAAAACUUAUCGGGUCAUUGAUGGCAUACGAAAUGAUAUGUAAUAUACAUGAAGAACUUGAGAAUAACCUUCUAAAGAAUAGGAAGGAUUUGACACUCAGAACUCAAAAAGACCACCUGAGAGAAAACUCAAGUGAUGAUGAUGAUGAUGACUUGGCACUUCUAACAAGAAAAUUAAAAAAAAUCAUAAAAAAAUUAAAUAAUUUAAUAUAAAUGUAAAAAAUCGGGGCACUUCAAAAGUGAAUAUCCCCAAGUGAAGAAAAAGCAACCAAAAAAGAAGAAAAUGCUAAAAGCUACUUAUGACAAUUCAAACAAGUUCAAAUACUAGGAGCCAACUAACAAAAAAAGUUGAUAACUAUGCUUUAAUGGUGCUUGGCUAUGAGGCAAGUAACUUAUUUAUCCUUUAAUAAAUUGUUGAAUACUUUUCAUGAUUUAUUUAAUGAAUGUAAAUUAGUUAGUAAAAAGUAUAAAUUAUUAAAAAAAUGAGCAUGCCUCUCUUGUUAGUGAAUUCAAUAGAUUAAAUAUUAAGCAUGAUAAUGAAAUAUUGCAUCCUUGUACAAAACAUGAUAAGAAAAAUUUGUUACUACAUCAAACCUUAGAAAAAUUUAAAAUAGGAAGUACAUCUUUAAACAUGAUCAUUGCAAAAAGGGAUCAUGUUCAUAGAAGAGAAUCAACUUUGUAAGUAACGCUCACCAAAAACCAACCAAAUUUGUUAAAAGCCUGACUUUACAUAUUUUACCCUGAAAGAAACAAAUGUAACUUUGUUACAAAUUUGGAUAUUAUGCUCCAUUUAAGAGGUAUAGUCCACAUAAGAUAAUUUGGGUCCCUAAAAGCUAUUAAGUGUCGAUAAAUGAUCAUCCACUCUCGGUGUCAUAAAAGAGAAAUGUUCUAUGUGUUUUUGCUCAAGUAAAUCCCUAGCCAUGGUCAUUUGGAUUAAGAGAGAAAAGAGUUCUCCAGGAGAAUCCGAUCAGAGCGAGACUUGAGUAGAUUCUAUAUAGGUCUGAUAGCACCAUGCCCAAUAUUCAGUCUUUGGGAUAUUAGAUAAAUGAGGGACUAUAGAUACAUGAUAACUAAGGACAAAUAGGUCCAAUGGAUUAUAUUUUCUUGUAUUAUCUGGGGACUAUGACGUAGUGGCCUAAUAUGUCUGUAGUCGAUGAGUCGAGUGAAUUAUUAUGGAGAUAAUAAUUUAUUGAGCCAAAAGAAGUUCUGACAUAUAUGACUCGGCCAACUUGAUAUUAUGUCUAGAGAGUCAUACACAUAUGAUAGAUGUUGCAACGAGUAGAGGUUCAGAUAUGAGAUAUCCGUCGGAUCCAUCAGAGUAAGAAACUUGAGUAGUUGGAUAGAAAUUUAGUACCCAAUAGGGCAUGAUCCAUUAUGGCAAGUUUAUAAAAACCUUUAUAAAUAAGAGGGAACUAAAGGGCCAUAGGCUAAACCCUUUUUAGUUACCACCUCCUAUACCUCUCUCUCUCUCUCUCUCUCUCUCUCUCUCUCUCUNNNNNNNNNNNNNNNNNNNNCUCUCUCUCUCUCUCUCUCUCUCUCUCUCUCCUCGUUAGCCAACAACCUAUGUUUAGGGCGUGUGGAUAACAAGAAGAGUCGGCCCCUUCUUGAUCCUAUGGUGCACGUGAAGAGGAGGUUUGUGCAGUGAUUUGACGACGAGCGUAUUCAUAGCCCAUAUCAUGUGGAUCACUACUAGAGAGGAGGAAAGUGAUCUCCUUCAUCUUCUACUACAGAGCUAUAGGUUUUUAUGGAUAUAUGAUCUCUCUAGGUAACAUGUAUGGUUUUUUGGUUCUGCAGGUUUUUGUGCACCAAUCUUCGUACGAUGAUAAGAAACUAGUUUAUAUGAAAAUUUGGGAUUUUUAUUUUUUAUUCUUCUACUGCACAUAUGAUGUUGCCCCAAAUUUUCCAACAUGUCAUAACUUGAUUCAAUCGCGAAGGCAUAAGAUCACCCAAGGGGCCCCUAAGGGGUCACAUGAGAUAGUAAGAGUGGGAAGAAGACCUAGUUAGCAUGAUCCUGAGAUGCUGCUUGCUUGCUAUGAGCGAGUUUGGUAUCACCUCAAGGUGCGCUUGAACUUCGCCGAGGAUUUUGUACAAUCAGUCAGCGUCAGGAUAAUAUUCUCAACCCGAACCCUCCUAUGGUAAAGUUAGUAAGGCGGUGAUAACAGUAAAGCAUUUACCUCUCUAGGCUUUAGGGCUAACUUUUAUACUUGAGCAAUUGAUGGAGAACGGUCGACCACUCAUCUUGGAGCUCGUCAUGUCGUCGGGGGCUCAUUUAUUUCGGUGGCCAAUGAGCAUAUCUCAUCGAGGAUUGAGUCAGGGGAGAAUGAUUAUGAGAGUGUCGUUUAUCAUUUAUCAUGGCUAUAGUUUAUCUAAGAUAAGCUGAGAUGGUCCCCGGUGUUAGGUGUCCGAAAAGGAGAACCGAAUCAUAUCACUUAGGACUAAUGCUUCCUGAGUCCGGACAUACAAACCCUCUCAAAAUCGUGAUCGAUGAGAAUGACGGAUCAUGACCCAUAGGGAGAAAUCGGGACAAUGAGCCUCAUUGUCGUGUAUUAAUGUUGCUAGUGAUCGGCUCGUGCAGCUUUCCCAAAGAUUGAGGCGAACACGGCCAGAGGGUCGUGCACCUACCGGCAACUAUAGGGGUGGGGGCACCAACUCUUCCGUACAUAUCGUUUCAUGACAGUAUGCGAUUAUAAAGUCAGCAGUGUAAUGACUAUUUUUUCUCUCAUGUUGAAAGAUUAUGUUUUCCUUUAACAAAUCAAGGUAAAAUUGUCUACACAAAGACGACGAGAGAGAGAGAGAGAGAGAGAUUGUGGAAACAUGUAGUCAUGGUUAGCAAUGGUUGCAACAGAGCACCGUCGGAACCGACGCCGACGGGAGGCCAUCGACGAAGUACGGUACCGUGCCACGCCGACGUGCAAGUACCUGACCAAGAACGAGGACGGGGUGUCCAUGGUUGCUCUGUCCCUGAUGAACCAGGACAAGAUCCUCAUGGAGAGCUGGUACUACUUGAAGGAUGCGGUGUUGAACGGCGGCAUCCCCUUCAACAAGGCAUACGGGAUGACGGCGUUCGAGUACCACGGCACGGACGCCCGGUUCAACAAGGUGUUCAACGAGAGAAUAAGGAACCACUCCACCAUCCUCACCAAGAAGCUGCUCGACAUCUACCGCGGCUUCGAGGGCGUCUAGGUGCUCGUCGACGUCGGUGGAGGCAUCGGCGCCACCCUCUACAUGAUCACCGCCAAGCACCCCCACAACAGGGGCAUCAACUUCGACCUCCCUCAAGUCAUCUCCGAGGCGCCACCCUUCCCAGGUCCCCCCAUCAACGCCUCUUCUGUUCUGCGCCGCCGCAACCUGAUACGUCUCACCUCUCAUUCUCUCGGCAUGGUGCCUUGCAGGGGUAUAACACGUCGGCGGAGACAUGUUCGCGAGCGUCCCAAGCGGAGAUGCAAUCUUCAAGAAGGUCAGAGAGUGUAUGUUUCCUUCAAUGCAAUCCAACUGAGAUUGACACUAACGAAUGCAGUGUCGGAGAAGGGGAAGAUGAUAGUGGUGGAAUGCGCCAUGCCCGUGGUGCCGGAGCCGACUCCCCGAGCUCAGGGCGUCUUCAACAUCAUAUUGUAACCAAGAUAAUGUGAAGCAUCUCAAAUCGACAUAUUCUACAACUCCAAUCAAGCAUGACAAUAUAAACAUUAUUAGAAAAAGUGGGGAAAAUAAUAUAGUAAUUCGAGGAUCCCUAUCGCACAACAGGAAUACAAAUGGAGACAAGUAAAAUUGUCCUUUCUGGAAUUUAAUUUGCAUCGUCUUUUUCUGGGUACAAAUACAAUUCAACAUGCAUGAUAGCAACUCUAUUUCAUGUGUCAACGUCUUGCAAAAAGUAGAACUUGUGGAUGUGAAUGAUUGAGCUUCCUAUGUCAGAUCGAUCAAGUUUGGUCUUCUUUCAGCCAUUUCAUUUCAUCAUCCUUUCGUCGCAAUCCAUAUAAGACAGUCAAUCAAUUACAUGCAUCAUAUAUAUAUUAUGAUGCAUGUAAUAGCUUUCAGAGUCAGUUGUGAGCAUUUGUGUGGUUCCAGAUUUAGACGAGGAAGAGAAGAGUUGUCCUCGCUGUUUUUUUGUGCCCACAACACUUACUACGUCUCAACAAGUCCUAAUGUUGAUUCCUUUCCUCACUCACGGAAGAAGUAAUCAUCAUCUGCAGCUAUUUGUUUCUACCAUUUUGUGACUGUGACCGGGAAAAGGAAGAGAUUACGCAGAAGAAUGACUGUAAUGGCACGUUACGUGAUGAAGAUGACGAGCUGAAGGCGUAUAAGUCCACCACCCACUGAUCUCCACUCUCUCGAACUCACCCUUCAUCCUUCCCCUGCUUCCAGUUGCAGAGCCAUGGGAUCCAUCAAGGAGGAGCUGCAGCUGACCCCCCAGGAGGACGAGGAGGCCUGCAUGUACGCCGUCGAGCUGGCCAGCGGCCCCAUCCUGCCGAUGACCGUCAAGGCCGCCGCCGAACUCGACCUCUUCGAGAUCCUCGUCAAGGCCGGGCCGACCCCGAAGCUGAGCGCCGCCGACAUCGCCGCCCAGAUGCCCACCCAGAACCCGCAGGCGGCCGUCAUGGUGGACAGGAUCCUCCGCCUGCUCGCCGCCUACAACAUCGUCAGAUGCACUGUCGAGACCGGUGCCGACGGCAGGCCGUCGGGGAAGUACGGAC
rnacentral:lncRNA from 1 species